rnacentral:lncRNA from 1 species
AGAUCACAGUGGUAACACCAAGGACAGAGGGGGAGAUGGGCACAGGCGCUGCGGCCCGACCCUCAUGAGAUCACAGCGGUAACACCAAGGACAGAGGGGGCGAUGGGCACAGGUGCCAUGAUCCGACCCUCAUGAGAUCACAGUGGUAACACCAAGGACAGAGGGGGAGAUGGGCACAGGCACUGCGGCCCGAUCCUCAUGAGAAGUGGCGCAGUGUUACGUGAAGGACGACUAUGUGUGGAUGUGGCUCUGACAGGCUCCUCGUGGAGCAGAGAUAACCAGCUCUCACAAGUCUUCAUCCUCCUGCCGCCGGGACCUUGGGGGGUCAGAACAGAGCAGGAGCUGCGGGAGAUCAAGGUGCCCACUGGUUCCAGAUUUUGUCAUGCCGCAUUCCUUAGAAAAGGCAAGUUUCGGACGAAGGAAAAGGCCACACGUGGACACAAGGUUCUCUGUUUAUCAUGAACGACCGAGAAGACGGGAGCAAGAAUGGUUCUGUGGGUUUGGAAAUCGAUGGUUCUGUUUGUGAAGAAGUAGGAAAAUUGCCUGUUACCCUAAGAAGUCUACGGGCCGUGGUCAGAGCUUUAGGCUCCUGAUUCCCCACUCGGGUUGAGGUCACCGCUCACCUCUGCAGGUGCAGGCAGGAGAGAGGCAGUGAGUGGGUACAACCGGGCUGUGAAUUUGCUGAGGGAGGCAUUAUAAUGACGGCUCACAAAUCCAGGCUGGGACCACAUCAAGGAUUAUGGCGGGAGUGGGGUUGAGAGCUGAGCUAGGUGCUUAAUUACCGAGGAGGGCAAUGUGUGUUCCCUCCCCUUCCCCCCAGACAGCAG